rnacentral:rRNA from 1 species
GUCCAGACUCCUACGGGAGGCAGCAGUGAGGAAUAUUGGUCAAUGGGCGCGAGCCUGAACCAGCCAAGUCGCGUGAGGGAUGACGGCCCUACGGGUUGUAAACCCCUUUUGUCGGGGAGCAAGGCCCGCCACGUGUGGCGGGAAGGAGAGUACCCGAAGAAAAAGCAUCGGCUAACUCCGUGCCAGCAGCCGCGGUAAUACGGAGGAUGCGAGCGUUAUCCGGAUUUAUUGAGUUUAAAGGGUGCGUAGGCGGAAGGUUAAGUCAGCGGUCAAAUGUCGGUGCUCAACGCCGGCCUGCCGUUGAAACUGGCAGUCUCGAGUUGGAGAGAAGUAUGCGGAAUGCGCGGUGUAGCGGUGAAAUGCAUAGAUAUCGCGCAGAACUCCGAUUGCGAAGGCAGCAUGCCGGCUCCACACUGACGCUCAUGCACGAAAGCGUGGGUAUCGAACAGGAUUAGAUACCCUGGUAGAA